rnacentral:rRNA from 1 species
CCCUUAGAUGUCCUGGGCCGCACGCGCGCUACACUGAGUGUCUGAGAUACGAGUCUGCCUGGUCCGGCAAGGUCUAGGUAAUCGCUAAAAGACACAUCAUGCUUGGGAUAGAUUAUUGCAAAUAUUACUCUUGAACGAGGAAUUCCUAGUAAGCGCAAGUCAACAGCUUGCGUUGAUUACGUCCCUGCCCUUUGUACACACCGCCCGUCGCUACUACUGAUUGGAUGUUUAAGCGAGGUUCUCGAACUGCUAGCGACUUAGCUUCGGUGAGGUCGCAGUGUGGGAAGUGAACCUAGCUUUGGUGUCUAGAGGAAGUAAAAGUCGUAACA